UUGUGGAGGAGGACGCCGAAGGUGGGGCUAAUGACUGGGGUGAAGUCGUAACAAGGUAGCCGUACCGGAAGGUGCGGCUGGAUCACCUCCUAACAGGGAGACAACAAAAUGUUAAAUAUUAAUUUUGUCACCUUAGGUCGAUCGGUAUCUCACAUUCUUAAUUUAUUAAGGAUUUUUUUUCCUAAGUUUUUUCUAGGUCACACCCAUUACUUUUCCUGGGCCAUUAGCUCAGGUGGUUAGAGCGCACCCCUGAUAAGGGUGAGGUCCCUGGUUCAAGUCCAGGAUGGCCCAUAUCUCUAUGUUGGGGGUAUAGCUCAGUUGGUAGAGCGCCUGCUUUGCAAGCAGGAUGUCAGCGGUUCGAGUCCGCUUACCUCCACUGAUUACCACCUCUUCCAUAAUUUUUAGAAGGGAAAUGUUUUGAGUUGUGAUCAAAUUCUGAAAGAAUCUAGCUUCCUAAUCAAAUUGAUUAAGAUGCUGGACUCAUUGAAUUAAUUUCAUUGUUUUCAGAGAACCUUGACAACUGCAUAGAUUUUUUUAAAGACAAUAAGCAUCUUUAAUGAUGCAGAUUUAUUAUUUGUGCGAAUGCAUUAAUAACAAUUCUAUUAAGCUGAUGCUUCAAUUUUUGAAGUUAUUGGUCAAGCUACAA
rnacentral:misc_RNA from 1 species